rnacentral:rRNA from 1 species
UAAAGAAAGUAAGAAAGGGCGUAUGGCGGAUGCCUAGGCUCACGGAGGCGAUGAAGGACGUGAUAAGCUGCGAUAAGCUUCGGGUAGGUGCAAAUAACCCUUGAUCCGAAGAUUUCCGAAUGGGACAACCUAGCCGUCUGAAGGACGGUUACUCUUACCAAGUAAGAGAGCUAACGCAGGGAACUGAAACAUCUUAGUACCUGUAGGAAGAGAAAAUAAAUUAAUGAUUUCCCCAGUAGUGGCGAGCGAACGGGGAACAGCCCAAACCAGUGGCGUCGCAAGGCGUGGCUGGGGUUGUAGGACCGCGACAUUGUAUGCAAAUCGUGAACAGAACACUUUGGAAAAUGUGACCAUAGACGGUGAUAGUCCAGUAUGUGAAGCGAAAUGCGGCAUAGCGGUAUCCUGAGUAACGCGGGACACGAGGAAUCCUGCGCGAAUCUGCCGGGACCAUCCGGUAAGGCUAAAUACUCCCGUGAGACCGAUAGCGAACGAGUACUGUGAAGGAAAGGUGAAAAGAACCCCGAGCAGGGGAGUGAAAUAGUUCCUGAAACCAUACGCCUACAAGCGGUCGGAGCAUCUUACGAUGUGACGGCGUGCCUUUUGCAUAAUGAUCCUACGAGUUACCGUCACUGGCGAGGUUGAGUGUCAUGAGACACGUAGCCGCAGUGAAAGCGAGCCUGAAGAGGGCGCACAGUCAGUGGGGGUAGACGCGAAACCAAGUGAUCUACACUUGGCCAGGAUGAAGUCCCGGUAACACGGGAUGGAGGUCCGCACCAAUAAGCGUUGAAAAGCUUCUGGAUGAGCCGAGUGUAGGAGUGAAAGGCCAAUCAAACUUGGAGAUAGCUCGUACUCCCCGAAAGGCAUUUAGGUGCCGCGUCGGAUGGUCACCGUGAGAGGUAGAGCGACCGAUAGGACAAGAGGGCUUCACCGCCUAUCGAGUCCUGACGAACUCCGAAUGCUCACGGUCUGCAGUCCGGCAGUAAGGGGGCGGGUGCUAAGGUCCGUCCCCGAGAGGAGAAGAAUCCAGACCGCCGUCUAAGGUCCCGGAGUUCUGCCUGAGUUAGUCUAACGAAGUCUGGUCCCUAUGACAGCUAGGAUGUUGGCUUGGAAGCAGCCAUUCAUUCAAAGAGUGCGUAACAGCUCACUAGUCGAGGGUCCGGGCAUGGAUAAUAAUCGGGUAUAAGGCAGACACCGAAGGCGCGGGAUAGCAAUUUUAAAAAGUAUCGGUAGGGGAGCAUACUCACAGCGUCGAAUGGUGUACGUAAGUUAUCCUGGAGCGGUGAGUAAAGCAAAUGUAGGAAUAAGUAACGAUAAGGAGGGUUAGAUUCCCUCCCGCUGUAAGACCAAGGUUUCCCGGGCAAUGCCAAUCAGCCCGGGGUCAGUCGGGUCCUAAGUCUAAGCCGAACGGCGAUGGCGAUGGCAGAGACGGUUAAUAUUCCGUCACUGCCGCAUGGGGCGACGUGGAGACGGAGCAGUGAAACCACCGCGGGGCGACGGAAGUCCCCGUUGAAGAGUGUAGGCGUUGAGGAUGGCAGGCAAAUCCACCAUCCGAGCUGAACUUGACAGUACGGAGUCCUCCUCGGAGGAAUCUGAUAGUGUGGGUAAUCAUACUCCCGAGAAAAUCCGCUAAGCUUAACCCAUGCGGCACCCGUACCGCAAACGGACACACGUGGUCGGGUAGAACAUACUAAGGCGUUGAGAGAUUCAUGGUUAAGGAACUAGGCAAAUUGACCCUGUAACUUCGGGAUAAAGGGUCCUCGUGAUGAGCGAGGCGCAGAGAAUAGGUCCAGGCAACUGUUUAACAAAAACACAGGGCUGUGCAAACUCGAAAGAUGACGUAUACAGCCUGACACCUGCCCGGUGCCGGAAGGUUAAGAGGAGAUGUCACUCGCAAGAGGAAGCAUUGAAUUGAAGCCCCGGUAAACGGCGGCCGUAACUAUAACGGUCCUAAGGUAGCGAAAUUCCUUGUCGGGUAAGUUCCGACCUGCACGAAUGGUGUAAUGAUCCGGACGCUGUCUCAACCAUGAGCUCAGUGAAAUUGUAGUAUCGGUGAAGAUGCCGAUUACCCGCGAUGGGACGAAAAGACCCCGUGAACCUUUACUACAGCUUAGCAUUGACCUUGGUCAUCCGAUGUGUAGGAUAGGCCGGAGGCUUCGAAGCGGGAGCGCCAGCUUUCGUGGAGCCAUCCUUGAAAUACGGCCCUUUGGCUGUCUGAGGUCUAACGCGUGAAACGCGGACACUGCUUGGUGGGUAGUUUGACUGGGGUGGUCGCCUCCAAAAGCGUAACGGAGGCUUCCAAAGGUGCCCUCGGGUCGAUUGGUAACCGACCUCAAAGAGUGCAAUGGCAUAAGGGCGCUUGACUGGGAGGCAGACAUGCCGAGCAGGCAGGAAACUGGGGCAUAGUGAUCCGGCGGAUGUGUAUGGAAACUCCGUCGCUCAAAGGAUAAAAGGUACUCCGGGGAUAACAGGCUGAUCCCCCCCAAGAGCUCAUAUCGACGGGGUGGUUUGGCACCUCGAUGUCGGCUCGUCACAUCCUGGGGCUGGAGAAGGUCCCAAGGGUUGGGCUGUUCGCCCAUUAAAGUGGCACGCGAGCUGGGUUCAGAACGUCGUGAGACAGUUCGGUCUCUAUCUAUCGUGGGCGUGGGAGUUUUGAGUGGUGCCGUCACUAGUACGAGAGGACCGUGAUGGACAGACCUCCGGUUUACCAGUUGUGCCGCCAGGCGCACCGCUGGGUAUCUGAGUCUGGAUUGGAUAAGCGCUGAAAGCAUCUAAGUGCGAAGCCAGCCGCAAGAUGAGAACUCCAUUGAGGGUCGUCAAAGACGAUGACGUUGAUAGGAUGCAGGUGUAAAGACAGCGAUGUCAAAGCCGAGCAUUACUAAUUGCCCGAACACUUUCUUUAU